ensembl:lncRNA
ACACACACACACACACUGUUAUGCACACACAGACACACACACUGUUAUGCACACACAGACACACACACUGUUAUGCACACACAGACACACACACUGUUAUGCACACACAGACACACACACUGUUAUGCACACACAGACACACACACUGUUAUGCACACACAGACACACACACUUGCACGCAUGCACUCACGGAACAAGUGGUGUCUGUAUGUCCUUCCAGCACAUUGGAACUUUGGUUUUCAUGGCCGUGUUAAGGUCUCGUAGGAAGCUCUUAAAAGGUCGUCUCUUUCAGGGUAGUAACAGUAUCCGUGUUUAUGGAAUCCAUAGCAGGGAAAUGAAAUGUUGACACUUCAGUGUCACUGCCUACAGGGAAUGAGAUGAGACAGGGAUGAGAGGGAAGGUGGUGUUGAGCUGUCUGCUUGUUAGUGUUCAAUCACUCAGGUGGCAGCGUUCAGGCCACUCCAGUGCUUAUACUCCAACAAAACUGUCAAAUCUCCCAUGUGAGAUGAGGGCUAGGACAAGUCUUCGUCCUCACAUGUGUAGAGUACAUGGCUGAGCAAAACAUCUCUUUAGUCUACAUUUACCUCAUCUCUUCUUCUAUCAUUCUCAUUGAGAUAUUAUGGUCAUCAUGAUUAUGAUUUUGAUUAUUAUUAUCAUGAUUAUUGUUGUCAUUAUUAUUUUUACUAUGAUCACUAACAAUAUUUAAAAUCGUUGAUUCUCCAGAUGUUGUUCUCGAUCCAAUGAAAAACCCUAUCCGGUGUAUUGGCAUCUUUUCAGCAUGAGUCUCCUAGUUGCUUGCUUAGUGUUGGAAUGCAUAUCUCUCAAACAGAAGGUGACGCAGGGUUAAAAUUAUUCAUCCCUCUAUUCCCAUAGACUGGACUUUUUUUCACUCUGAUUUGGGGGAGGGGGGGAAAGAGGGGGCUGCCGAAGCACAAAUACAUUUUGGCAGCCAGACGUACAUGAGUCCUCCUGAGACUAAAAGUAUGUCUUCGCUUGAUUCCACCCCGCUCUUCCUCUCUCUCUGGCUCUUCCAUUGUUGCCACAUUGCCUUGACCAUGAGGCCCUCCAGGCCUCACUUUUUGUUUGUCAUGGCAACGCUUGUCAGAUCGUAAGUUACCCAUAGCAACCCGUCCAGACCUGGCGCUAUUAGAAUAACAUAGUGCCCGUGGCAGACUAGCUGUAUGGAAGCCAUGCAGACUAUAGAACUCCCUCCUCUCUCUCACACACACACACAUACACACACCCUCACACUUGUUUUCUUCUCUACCCUUCUUUUCUAAAAAUGAACUGUUGCUGCAGACUUCACCCAGUUUCAGUGUGUCACCAUUUGUAUAUAAGCUUAUGGCUAGUUGGGUGGCAUCGACAUGCUUCUUCUGACCCAUGAUUCGUGGGCCCUGAAUUGUGUCAUUGAGAGGGCGCCACAAGCUUCACAUGAUAGCAAUUACCCAGAACUCCUCUACAAGGCCACAUAUAUCUACCCUCUAGGCACACACUGGUUGAAUCCACGUUGUUUCUAUGUAAUUUCAAUAAAAUGAUCCUGAACCAACGUGGAAUAGAUGUCUGUGCCCAGUGGUUACCAUGCACCCAGCGCUGUCUGCAGCUGUGGUGGAGCACAAUGCCUAAAGCAUUGACUCAGAUAUUAUAAACCAGCUGCCAACGCCGGCCUCGCCAUCGUGUCCCCUCCAUAUACACACACACACAUGAAAGCAUACACAUAGACACACACAAUCCUCCUUCUCGCUCUGUCUGCUUGGAUAUUUUUCUAUGCUACGCUAAUAUGUGAUGUAAGCGAAACGCAGAUUGAGAGAAGAGCUUUAGGUUUGAGGUUGCUAAUGCUGUUAAAAUCCCACCUGCACCCCUGUCCUCCCCCCUCCACCUAACACCCUUCCCAUUGUGAAAGUAACUGUGUGAUGGUGUUUGUCUUGAUGGCUGUGGGGUUUUGAGGAUGCUUGUUCUCUAUGGAAAGUGUCAAAUCCCAUGGAUGGUGAUGCAAAAACAAUGAUUUCAAAGAAUUAAAGGAUAAAACAAAACAAAGCUCAGCCUCUGGCAUUUUGUGUGUGUGAUAGUGAAUGUUGUCUUUUGACCUUGGG